GUCGCGCGUGAAAGGACUUCGGUCCGAGUAAAGCGGCGCACGGGUGAGUAACGCGUGGAUGAUCUACCCGAUGAGUUAGGAAUAACGGCUGGAAACGGUCGCUAAUACCAAAGUACGCUCCGAAUUUUCAAACUUCGGGGGGAAAGGUGGCCUCUGCUUGCAAGCUACUGCUCAUGGAUGAGUCCGCGUCCCAUUAGCUAGUUGGUGGGGUAACGGCCCACCAAGGCGACGAUGGGUAGCCGGUCUGAGAGGAUGACCGGCCACACUGGGACUGGAACACGGCCCAGACUCCUACGGGAGGCAGCAGUGGGGAAUAUUGCGCAAUGGGCGAAAGCCUGACGCAGCGACGCCGCGUGAGGGAUGAAGGUCCUCGGAUCGUAAACCUCUGUCAGGAGGGAAGAACCGCCACGGUGCUAAUCAGCCGUGGUCUGACGGUACCUCCUAAGGAAGCACCGGCUAACUCCGUGCCAGCAGCGGC
rnacentral:rRNA from 1 species